GCUGAUAUGGCUCAGUUGGUAGAGCGCACCCUUGGUAAGUGUUAUGUUCACGGUACGGCGCUGAGUAUCAGCUCCA
rnacentral:tRNA from 1 species